AUUGAACGCUGGCGGCAGGCCUAACACAUGCAAGUCGAGCGAGCGGCGGACGGGUGAGUUAUGUCUGGGAAACUGCUUGAUGGAGGGGGCUAACUACUGGAAAAGGUAGCUAAUACCGCACACGAUCAGGUGUGCCCAGAUGGGAUUAGCUAGUAGGGGGGGUAACGGCUCACCUAGGCGACGAUACCUAGCUGGGCUGAGAGGAUGACCAGCCACACUGGAACUGAGACACGGUCCAGACUCCUACGGGAGGCAGCAGUGGGGAAUAUUGCACAAUGGGCGCAAGCCUGAUGCAGCCAUGCCGCGUGUGUGAAGAAGGCCUUCGGGUUGUAAAGCACUUUCAGCGGGGAGGCGUUACCCGCAGAAGAAGCACCGGCUAACUCCGUGCCAGCCGCCGCGGUAAUAC
rnacentral:rRNA from 1 species